rnacentral:rRNA from 1 species
GAUGAACGCUGGCGGCGUGCUUAACACAUGCAAGUCGAACGAUGAUGCCCAGCUUGCUGGGUGGAUUAGUGGCGAACGGGUGAGUAACACGUGAGUAACCUGCCCUUGACUCUGGGAUAAGCCUGGGAAACUAGGUCUAAUACCGGAUACGACCAUCUGGCGCAUGUCAUGGUGGUGGAAAGCUUUUGUGGUUUUGGAUGGACUCGCGGCCUAUCAGCUUGUUGGUGGGGUAAUGGCCUACCAAGGCGACGACGGGUAGCCGGCCUGAGAGGGUGACCGGCCACACUGGGACUGAGACACGGCCCAGACUCCUACGGGAGGCAGCAGUGGGGAAUAUUGCACAAUGGGCGCAAGCCUGAUGCAGCGACGCCGCGUGAGGGAUGACGGCCUUCGGGUUGUAAACCUCUUUCAGUAGGGAAGAAGCGAAAGUGACGGUACCUGCAGAAGAAGCGCCGGCUAACUACGUG